GUCAUCGGUUCAAAUCCGAUAAGGGGCUUUUGAGGUUU
rnacentral:tRNA from 1 species